GCAGCACGGGGGCAACCCUGGUGGCGAGUGGCGAACGGGUGAGUAACAUAUCGGAACGUGCCCUGGAGUGGGGGAUAACUAGUCGAAAGAUUAGCUAAUACCGCAUACGAUCUACGGAUGAAAGUGGGGGAUCGCAAGACCUCAUGCUCGUGGAGCGGCCGAUAUCUGAUUAGCUAGUUGGUGGGGUAAAGGCCUACCAAGGCAUCGAUCAGUAGCUGGUCUGAGAGGACGACCAGCCACACUGGGACUGAGACACGGCCCAGACUCCUACGGGAGGCAGCAGUGGGGAAUUUUGGACAAUGGGCGCAAGCCUGAUCCAGCAAUGCCGCGUGAGUGAAGAAGGCCUUCGGGUUGUAAAGCUCUUUUGUCAGGGAAGAAACGGUGGAGGUUAAUACCUUCUGCUAAUGACGGUACCUGAAGAAUAAGCACCGGCUAACUACGUGCCAGCAGCCGCGGUAAUACGUAGGGUGCAAGCGUUAAUCGGAAUUACUGGGCGUAAAGCGUGCGCAGGCGGUUGUGCAAGACAGAUGUGAAAUCCCCGGGCUCAACCUGGGAAUUGCAUUUGUGACUGUACGGCUAGAGUGUGUCAGAGGGGGGUAGAAUUCCACGUGUAGCAGUGAAAUGCGUAGAGAUGUGGAGGAAUACCGAUGGCGAANGCAGCCCCCUGGGAUAACACUGACGCUCAUGCACGAAAGCGUGGGGGAGCAAACAGGAUUAGAUACCCUGGUAGUCCACGCCCUAAACGAUGUCUACUAGUUGUCGGGUCUUUAUUGACUUGGUAACGCAGCUAACGCGUGAAGUAGACCGCCUGGGGAGUACGGUCGCAAGAUUAAAACUCAAAGGAAUUGACGGGNACCCGCACNAGCGGUGGAUGAUGUGGAUUAAUUCGAUGCNNCGCGAAAAA
rnacentral:rRNA from 1 species